rnacentral:rRNA from 1 species
UACGGGGGGGCAAGCGUUGUUCGGAAUUACUGGGCGUAAAGGGCUCGUAGGCGGCCAACUAAGUCAGACGUGAAAUCCCUCGGCUUAACCGGGGAACUGCGUCUGAUACUGGAUGGCUUGAGAUUGGGAGAGGAUGCGGAAUUCCAGGUGUAGCGGUGAAAUGCGUAGAGUAUCUGGAGGAACACCGGUGGCGAAGGCGGCAUCCUGGACCAACACUGACGCUGAGGAGCGAAAGCCAGGGGAGCAAACGGG